CGAUAUAUGUUAUACAAGUAUCUAUAGCAUCAAGUCAUAGGGUUGGCAAGUGUAUUAUUGAACCUUCAAAGCAGUAACGCAUACGGAAGAGUAGUUUCUGAUCCCAUAGAAGGAGCACAGUACAAUGAGAGACGGCUCUUAGUUCUAAGGAACGCACCAG
rnacentral:rRNA from 1 species